CACGUAGGGGGCAAGCGUUGUCCGGAAUCACUGGGCGUAAAGCGCGCGUAGGCGGUUUUGCAAGUCAGAGGUGAAAACCGGCAGCUCAACUGCAGGCUGGCCUCUGAAACUGCAAGGCUUGAGGACAGGAGAGGGGAGUGGAAUUCCCAGUGUAGCGGUGAAAUGCGUAGAUAUUGGGAGGAACACCAGUGGCGAAGGCGGCUCCCUGGCCUGUAACUGACGCUGAGGCGCGAAAGCGUGGGGAUCAAACAGGAUUAGAAACCCGCGUAGUCC
rnacentral:rRNA from 1 species